GUAGUCUCGCACAGAUGCAUAUCAAUAAGCGGAGGAAAAGAAACUAACAAGGAUUCCCUCAGUAACGGCGAGUGAAGCGGGAAGAGCUCAAAUUUGAAAUCCUGAAAGGUCACCUUUCACGAAUUGUAGUUUAAAGAAGUGUUUUCUGUUACGAUCGUAAUAUAAGUUCUUUGGAAUAGGACAUCACAGAGGGUGAGAAUCCCGUCUAUGAUUGCGAUUUGUAGCCUUGUGAUACACUUUCAAAGAGUCGGGUUGUUUGGGAAUGCAGCCCAAAACGGGAGGUAAAUUUCUUCUAAGGCUAAAUAUUGGCGAGAGACCGAUAGCGAACAAGUACCGUGAGGGAAAGAUGAAAAGAACUUUGAAAAGAGAGUUAAAUAGUACGUGAAAUUGUCAAAAGGGAAGCGUUUAACACCAGUGUUGUUUUCUCGAAAAUCAAUUAAAAAUGGCUCGAUUUUGUAUUGCUGAGACCUUAUAAGCUCACUGUACAUUUUUCGUGUCUUUUUUAAUGCACUUUUCGUUUAACAAGUCAACAUCAGUUUCUUUUGUUGUAAAAGGGUCAUUGGAAGGUGGCUUUCUUUUCGGAGAAAGUGUUUAUAGCCUUUGGCCUCUGCAAUCGGAGAGACUGAGGUCUGCAGCGUAGACUCUUCGGGGUCAGAUACAUUUGUGCUAAGUUAUAGCUUUUUAUAGACAACUUGUUGACUAUAAUUAGUCUUGUAGCUUACUCGCUUAUGCUAUUUUACCUACGCUUAGGAUGUUGAGUCGUAGAGCACGCAG
rnacentral:rRNA from 1 species